UUAGGUUGGUGAAAAACUGCAGUUUUUGCCUUUGAAAGCAAUAGCAAAAACUGCAGUUACUUUUGCACCAACUUAAUA
ensembl:miRNA